rnacentral:ncRNA from 1 species
AAGGAAGUAAUUAAGGGCGUACGGUGGAUGCCUAGGCUCUUACAGGCGAUGAAGGACGUGAUAAGCUGCGAUAAGCUGUGGGUAGGUGCAAAUAACCAUUGAUCCGCAGAUUUCCGAAUGGGACAACCCAGCAGGUUGAAGACCUGUUAUCCCGCAAGUGCGGGAGGCUAACGGGGGGAACUGAAACAUCUUAGUACCCCUAGGAAAAGAAAAUAAUAAUGAUUCCCCUAGUAGUGGCGAGCGAACGGGGAAUAGCCCAAACCAUAUAGAUUUCGGUCUAUAUGGGGUUGUAGGACCACGCUGUUGCACGAAAUACAGUUAGAGGAACGCUUUGGAAAGAGCGACCAUAGAGAGUGACAGUCUCGUACUCGACAAUUGUAUGAAGCAUAGUGGUAUCCUGAGUAGGGCGGGACACGUGAAAUCCUGUCUGAAUCCGGCGGGCCCAUCCGCCAAGGCUAAAUACUCGUAAGAGACCGAUAGCGAACCAGUACCGUGAGGGAAAGGUGAAAAGCCCCUCUUUUAGAGGAGUGAAAAAGUUCCUGAAACCGUACGCCUACAAGCGGUCGGAGCA